GCCAGUGUGGUGUAGUGGUUAGAGUGCCAGACUAGGAUCUUGGAGACCAGGGUUCAAAUCCCCAUUCGGCU